UUACUAACGCGCUGUUGCAGCAAUAAUUUUACUUUCGUUUUCUUUUCUUUACAUUUUAACUUUAAUUUUGGCCUAAAUACAAAUAUAUACGCACAACCCAACCCAAGUUCAUCUGUAUUUCGUGCUUUCUGAAUGCAGAAAAAAACUUUUCAGAGUUUGGUCAUAUAACCUUUGAACCGGCGCUGUUCCCGGAUAUGAAAGCGGACCGUAUUUGCGGCGUUACGGCCGCCUGCGUGCGUCUUGCUCUCAGUCUCAUCUAGUUCGCUGCGGGCUGUGUGUAAAUAAGAUGGGUGACAUUUCGGAUGAAUUGACAUGCAGCGUUUGUCUGGACAUCUACAAAGACCCUUAUUUGCUACCUUGCGGGCACAGUUUUUGUCACAGCUGCAUACAAGGUCUGAGCACGGCUUUGGAGCUGAAGUGCCCAGACUGUAGGAGGGAGUGCAGAAGUUGGGAGGAUGUAGUCAGGAACUACAAACUGGCAAACAUUGUGCAAGUGCUUAUGGCAGAAAAGAGCCCCGAAGCCGGCCCCCCUACAGAUAUUGACCAAUGGAGGCUUUCCUACUGGCUCUUACUAUUGGCUGUGGUGCUGCUGGUCACUGCCGCCUUCUGUAAGUGUUGUUGGUAUGUCUGUACUGGUGCAUAGGAGUACAUCGGCAUACGAGCAUAAAGGUCACAUUCACAGAGUACUCAACUGGUUGGUUGAAACAAAAUCUUGGUCUGGAUUUUUGCUUUCUGGACCUGAACUUUCCACCUCUGUCUGGUUCUCAUAGUCCACAAACCAAUUGUUAGGCUUACUGAUGUCUCAGAAUUGUAUGCAAGCAUGUGUGAUUGUGUGGGUCACGUGAUUGACUGGCAUCCUGCUCAGCCUUUGCCCUCAGCUUCUGGGGAUGGGCUCCAGUUUCACUCUGACUCUGUACUGGUAAAAAACAAACUGGAAUCUACUGCCGAAGAACUGCUGGACUCUCAGAUGCAGCUUAGAACCUUCCAGAAGGAGGGCGCUGACAGCGUGGCGUCACCUGGGAGCAUCACUGACUUUCUGAUGUCCGCACUCUACUGGUGUGUCUGGAUCGUCGUCAGUCCCUUAUUGAUUAUCUGGACCAUAGUGCAGUGGCUUGUGAAUGCACUUAUUUAUCUUAUUUACUUCUGCCUAUGGCUUGUCUACUAUUGCCUUUGGCUAAUGGUCAGCACAAGCUUCGAUUACUUAUUUAAGUUAUUUAACCUGGCUGUCUACACCUGCGGACUCAGCUAUAUUUUAUUAAAGAUGCUGCGUUUAUUGCGGAAGCCACACACCGGCGGCUGAUGCUGUGAUUGGUGCUACUAACCAGUAAUGUGAUCAGUCUGGCCAAUGGCAGGACUUGUUUUUGUUACAUGAAAUACUGCCUGUUAUUUUUUAAUUGGUCUCCAUGGCGUUGCCCGACGCUGAUUUGCUGUACGCCUGGGGAUCAUGUGGUGCGCUUUUCAUAAAUGUAAUUUUGUAUUCAAAAUACAAAUGUGCAUUCACCUAACAAAAGCCUGGGCUUUUAUAUAGAUGGAGGUUUUUGGUAGAAAAUGACAUUUUGAACACUAUUUUUGUUACUGCUUAAGAGUUUAGCUGUUUUGCAUCCAAGCUGCAAAUCAGAAAUGGCAAUAAAGGUUUUUGCUAAGAGUUGUUGAA